UACGAGUGCCUCGAGCGUUAUCCGGAAUUAUUGGGCGUAAAGCGCACGUAGGCGGCUUGGUAAGUUGGAUGUGAAAUCCCCGGGCUUAACUUGGGAAUUGCAUUCAAGACUGCCUUGCUGGAGUGUUGGAGAGGAAAGCGGAAUUCCAGGUGUAGCGGUGAAAUGCGUAGAUAUCUGGAGGAACAUCAGUGGCGAAGGCGGCUUUCUGGCCAAACACUGACGCUGAGGUGCGAAAGCGUGGGGAGCAAACAGG
rnacentral:rRNA from 1 species